rnacentral:misc_RNA from 1 species
AUCUCAGCACUAGCACCAGCAACAAGACAUUAACGCAUACCCACCAACUCAGCAGCCACAAACGCCACCACUGUGAUUGCGCACCCUCAUUACACCUCACACAUACAGACAAUAACGCAUUCGGCUCAGCAUCUCCCCUUCCGUUGCCCUCCCCUCCCUUUACCGCCGCUGGGCCCGCGCUCUUUGGCGCUUUUCCUUGGCGUCGUACCUGAGGCACGACAGAAGUUUGUUCCCCAACCUGUUUCUUCUUGGGCAGCGAUGAGCACCACGGACGCAUUGAUUACAGGCGCGGAGGCCUCACCGGCGUCUCCGGCAACCCCGCCAUCUCCGCCAACCUCCCCGGCGGCUACCGGUCCGGCUUCAACGGCAGCCGUGACCACGUACACGGUUGGCAUCGACAUCGGCUCCGCCACUACCCGCGUGGCUAUCAUGGACCCGGCAAAGCUGAUGCCGACAAUUAUACGCAACGCCUUGGGCAAUGAGGCCACGAGCACCGUGGUGUCGUUUGCCGCCAACGAGGCUCGCUCUUUCGGCGAGAACGCGGCGGCGCGGCAGGUGACGAAAGCGUCGGAGACCAUUGUCGAUCUUGCGCCGUGGAUCUUUGGCUACACGUCUGGGGAGCAGGUGCCAAAGGACACCGCCGUGUCACUGCAGGUGGUGUCACCGGCCACCGCCAUGACCGAGGCUGUUGUCUUGAAAUCCCGGCAGCUUGGCACGCAGGAGCACCUUACCCACCCAGCGCAGGUGGCUGCCUUCUACAUCAAGUCGCUCCUGCAGUUCUUGCCGGACAAGGAGAUGAUACGCACCUCUCCGGUCUGCCUGGCUGUGCCGUCUGCAGCAUGCGCGGCUUCCUUCGAAGCGCUCCGCCAAGCCGCUUUUCUUGCUGGCGUGCCGCAAGAGAAGACGAUAAUCGCUCACUCAGACGAGGCCACCGCCGUGUACUUCCACCACCUCCAGUACAGAAGCUUACCCGCGAAGCAUGAGGGCGCGGCGGUGCCAGUGGUGCUGAUCGACAUUGGACAGAGCUGCUCUGUCGCCUCCCUCAUCAUCGCCUCCCAGCCGCGCGUGGAGAAGGUGGGUUGCCAGACGCUGCGCAUGGGCAGCGAGUACAUCGAUACUCUUCUGUGCAGCCACGUAUACAGUGAGCUCGGCAAGAAGUUCGGCGCGGCGGCGGAUCCCUUGCGUGGCGACAUCAAGUCGUUUCGCAAGAUCCUGCGCGAAUGCCGAAAGGCCAAGGAGGUGCUCUCGACGGCGGACGAGACGCAGGUGCAGCUAGAAGGUCUUAGCGGUGACAUCGACAUCAUCGUUUCCGUAACGCGUGCGAUGAUGGAGCAGGCGGCGCUGCCGUUUCUGCAGGCAGUGCGUGCGAUGCUCACGGCCAUCAAAGAGAAGCUGCCGGAGCCGAAGGCGACGGAGGACGGUUCACAGGCGGCAGCCGUGCCCCCUCGCGUCGAGGUGAUUGGCGGCGGGUGGCGCUCCGUGUGCGUCAUGGAGGCGAUCAGGGAGGUGUUCGGCAUCACGCGUGUCGGCGUAUCGCUCGAUGCCAACCUCAGCGUGGCGGAGGGCAGCGCCAUCCUCGCUGAGGUGCGCCGGCUGACCAUCGCAAGGCAGCAGCGGGAGCAGGACGAGGAACAGACGGCACAAGACACGGCCGCAUCCUCGGUAGCGGAGGCUCACCAGGUCGAGCUCGUUGGCUUUGAGGUCCUUGACGCGAACUCCCCCAUCAGCCGACCGCUCUCCGAGGCAGGUGUGAGGGCCGUGAAGGAGUGGAUGGUGCUGGAGAAACAGAUGGAGGACAGCGACGCCCGCAUCCACGAGCGACUGGCCGCGCUGAAUCGACUUGACUCGUACAUUCUGCAGACCCUGGCCGCGGUCGACAACUGCGCUGCGUCGAGUGAGAAGAAGACCGAGAUGCGGACCUACAUUGGGGAGGUCGACGCGUACGUGCGCAGCGAGGGCGAUGAGGCAAGCACGGCGGAGUUGAACGAGAAGCUGGCGGCUGUGCAGGCCCACGUCACGGAGCACUUCUCUGAGAUAGAGGCGUACUACGAGAGCGUGCGUACGGAGGAGAAGAGAAAGGAGGAAGAACUGGUGAAGCUGAGCAAGGAGCGGCAGGAGGACGAGUCCGACUUGAAGAGCGACCCCCAACGUCUGCGCAUGGCUCAGAAGCGGCGUGAGCAGGGGCAGGGCUUGUUUAAGGAGGAGUGCUGGGCCGAGGCGCAGACGCGCUUUGUGCAGGCGCUCUCCGUUCUCGGCCAGCUCUACGACACGAGCAGCGAGGAGAACAAGACGAAGAAGCGGGAGAUUUCCCUCUCGUGCUACCUCAACAUCGCCUCCUGCAGCGUCAAGCUCGGGCUGUGGAAGAACGCGGUGAACAACUGCACCAACGCGCUCGAACUCGUGCCAGAUCACCCAAAGGCGCUCUUCCGCCGCGGGCAGGCCUACAGCGCGCUGAAGGAGUACGAGGAGGCGGUGGCAGACCUGGAGAAGGCCAAGACGGUGUCGCAGGGCGACCCGGCGGUUGUGACAGAGCUGAACAAGGCAAAGGCCGCCCUGGAGGCAGAAAAGGCGAAGACAAAGAAGAUGUUCGCUAAGAUGUUCUCAUAGGGAAAGGAGAACGGCAGCGCAGGCUGAUAAUUGCACGUGAACCCCGAAGGAUUCUAUUCGAGCGCAUGUACAUCUUUGGGUGUACGUGUGCGUUGUGGGAGGGGGGGGGGAGGCAAGCGUGAAGGACGAAUGGGAGCGGCGAAAGGGACCGAGUUUCGUGUCCGGUGACGGCGGUGCUUCGUCCUCUUCUCUAUCGCUUCUCCCCCGUGUUUUCUGCGCUGCGUGCGUGCGCAGGACACCCAGAUGGUUCGCCCUUCAGGCUUUUGCCUUAAUUUGUUUUUCUUUGGGAGGGUGCUUCUCUCUCUCUUUUGUGCGCACGCGUAUUUUC